rnacentral:rRNA from 1 species
AGCAGCCGCCGCGGUAAUACGUAGGUGGCAAGCGUUGUCCGGAAUUAUUGGGCGUAAAGGGCUCGCAGGCGGUUUCUUAAGUCUGAUGUGAAAGCCCCCGGCUCAACCGGGGAGGGUCAUUGGAAACUGGGAAACUUGAGUGCAGAAGAGGAGAGUGGAAUUCCACGUGUAGCGGUGAAAUGCGUAGAGAUGUGGAGGAACACCAGUGGCGAAGGCGACUCUCUGGUCUGUAACUGACGCUGAGGAGCGAAAGCGUGGGGAGCAAACAGGAUUAGAGACCCCUGUAGUCCCUGUCUCUUAUAC